rnacentral:misc_RNA from 1 species
AAUGUCGUAACAAGGUUUCCGUAGGUGAGUAACCUCUAGCUCGUUUUGUGUUUUUGUGAUUUUUUGGCUAAUUUUCAAUUUAGGUGAAUCCUGCGGAAGGAUCAUUACGAGUACUCCUGCUUGCAGGAACUCCCACCCGUGAUCAAUUCCACCGUUGCUUCGGCAAGACGUUGGAAACGGCCAUUCGCCUUUGAAAUUAAUACCGAUGACGAUGUGAGCUUGCGGAGUCUAUACUCUUAAACUAUGUUUAGUCAGAGAAACAGCAAUAAUAAAA